rnacentral:rRNA from 1 species
UUAAAUUGAAGAGUUUGAUCAUGGCUCAGAUUGAACGCUGGCGGCAGGCCUAACACAUGCAAGUCGAACGGUAACAGGAAACAGCUUGCUGUUUCGCUGACGAGUGGCGGACGGGUGAGUAAUGUCUGGGAAACUGCCUGAUGGAGGGGGAUAACUACUGGAAACGGUAGCUAAUACCGCAUAACGUCGCAAGACCAAAGAGGGGGACCUUCGGGCCUCUUGCCAUCGGAUGUGCCCAGAUGGGAUUAGCUUGUUGGUGGGGUAACGGCUCACCAAGGCGACGAUCCCUAGCUGGUCUGAGAGGAUGACCAGCCACACUGGAACU